rnacentral:lncRNA from 1 species
CUGCUCAUUGAUGUUGGACUUGACCACCUGACGUGUUUUGGCCCUGGGGCUGUUGGAGGAUGGAACUAGCAGAAGCACUCCAUGCGCCCACAUGGCCUGGCUCCUUCUUUCCACUCCAGAAGUCCAGGGUAAGAAGAGCUUCCUCCAGAGAGCCUCUGCUGUGCCCCAGGACAAACUUGGUGCAACCACCUGAACUUGCGUCAAACCCAGGCUACCUACAGCCUAAGGCAGGGCCGUCCAGCCACACCUAUCCUGGAUCAGCCAAAUUAUAGCCAUCUGAGACCUGAUGGAGUGCAGUGGUGCAAUCACAGGUCACUCCUGCAGCCUUGAACUCCUGGGCUCAAGCAGUUCUCCCACCUCAGCCUCCUAAAUAUCUGGGACUACAGGUGUGCACCAUGCCUGGCUAAUUUUUUUUUUAGAGUAGGGGUCUCACUAUGUUGCCCAGGCUGGUCUCAAACUCCUGGGCUCAGUGAUCCUCCUGCCUCGGCCUCCCAAGGCGUUGGGGUGACAGGUGUGAACCACGGCACCUGGCCUGGGCAGCAUUACUUUGACAAAAUUAUGACAUCCUCAUUUCCAGCCACACCAAAACUUGUUUCCACCUCAGGGCCUUGCAUCUUCUGAUUCCUCUGCGUCUGCCUCUCCUGACCUUAAAAGGGCCAUGGCCUUUGAGGACACUGCAGGCCCUGCAGCCUGAGAGAGAGUCUCUAUUCCCAGGCCAGUUUGCAAACUCCCAAGAAAGACAUCUCAGGGCUCAGGACCAUGGACCAUGGGGCAAUGGACGGACCUGUAGGAACAUUGUGGCUGAGUGGGGAGGGCAGUGCCCAGAAGAACAUGCUGGGGCCAGGCACGAGGAAAGCAAUAGGUGGGCCCUGAGGUCAGACGGCCACAGCAGAAGCGCCUCCUCACGCUGGGACUCCCUCCUCCUCCUUCUCCUUCACCUCCUCCUCUCUCUCCAUCUCUCUUUUUUUUUUUUUUUUUUUGAGACGGAGUCUCGCUCUGUCACCCAGGCUGGAGUGCAGUGGCGUGAUCUCGGCUCACUGCAAGCUCUGCCUCCCAGGUUGACGCCAUUCUCCUGCCUCAGCCCCCUGAGUAGCUGGGAUUGCAGGCGCCCACCACCACGUCCGGCUAAUUUUUUGUAUUUUUAGUAGAGACGGGGUUUCACCGUGUUAGCCAGGAUGGUCUCAAUCUCCUGACCUCGUGAUCCGCCCGCCUCUGCCUCCCAAAGUGCUGGGAUUACAGGCGUGAGCCACCACGCCCGGCCUCUCUCCAUCUCUCUCUCCAUACCUCUCUCUCUCUUUCUCUGUCUCUAUUUGUCCCUCUCUCUUCUCCCCCUCUCCCCUACCCCCCUAAGCCUACCGGGCGGGGGGCUCCCUGCUUCUUCCCAUCCCACAUCACCCCUCCUGGCUUUCUCAGCCCUCUUGUCCUGCAGAUUUUGUGGCCUUCACACACUCGCCACAUUCUUGUUCCACCGUGGCACUCAGGGUCUCCAUGGCUACCUAUGCCCAGAGCUAAACAAAGCGCUGGUGUAGCUGGGCUCCAGCCAGGGCCCAGGGUGGCAGGCCCAGGACCUCCAGGUGCGGGCACUGUUUCCGCUGAAGCGGCCGGGCCACCGCCAGCUCUCUUGGCAGCCUUGGCACUGCUGAGUCACACUGGGCUUUCUGUUUCCAUAAAACAUGUUUCAGAGAUUUAUGAGGUAAUCAUGUGCUCACUACAGAAAAAUUCGAAAACACAAAUAUAAAGGAUCUAUUUCUCCUCGGUCUUUUACUUAUGCAAAUUUUAAAACAAACGUCGACUUAGUCUAUAUAUAGCUUUUGCUUAACUUCUUAUCAAGAGCAUUUACCCUGCUCAUAAUGUGUGAAUGAUAUUCGUUUAUGGAUUACAAAUACAAUAGCGGACAGUUAUUACUCUGCUGAAUACUUUUUGCUGGCUAUUUUAUUUAACAAACUACCACGUGGUUUCCCCAAGAACAGUUAGAUUCCCCAUUUCACAAAUGUGGAAGCUGAGGUUUAGAGUGGUUGAAUAAAUUGUUCACAGUCACACAGCUAGUACAUGGCAGGUCCCAACUUUGAGGCCAAAUCACCUUGUUUCACAGCCAAUGUCAUUUCUCUCCAUGACCCCUCCUGCCUGUGUACCACAGGUCACAGGUGUGCAUGAGGUGUCUGUGUGUCACAGGAGGGCAUCACCACUCUCCUCCACCUGGGCUGAGCUAUGUCCCUCCAGGACAGUGGUGGAGGAUGCUUCCCAGGAGGAGUGACAUCCUGUUUGUAAGCCACCAGCUUGUAAGUCAUGGAGUUGCCUGUGGUGGCAUGGCGGAAGCCUGGCUGUGCUCUGUGGGCCAAGGGCAUGAGGGACAGGCAGCCCUUCAUGGCAAAGAGCCAAAGAGUAAUUCAGAAAACUAGAAUUUGAAUAGAAUCACCUCAACUUUUAAAGACGGCAUACCAAAACCCCAAGCAAAUAUCACAUCCAAUGGAGAAACCUUAGAAACAUCCCCAUCUAGAUUGGCAAGAAGAUAAGGUGCCUGUUAGCAUUGCUGCUAUGUAACAAAGAGCCAGAGUCAGGGCCACUGUUAUAAAACAAGAAAAGGAAAUGGGAGGUGUAGAAGUCGGAAGGAGGAAAGAGAUUAAAAUGUUAUUUGUGGACUAUAUGAAAAUUUACAUAGAAAUUUCAACUAAUUAUUAAAACUAAUAACAGGGUUGCUGGAUGGAUGUAAAGUCAACUUACAAAGACCAAUAACACUUUGUCUAUACCACAUUAACCACCUAUAAUAUAUAGGAGAAAAUAAGACAUAUAUACAUAUAAGAAAAUAGGAUACCUUUCAUAACAGCAACACAACCUAUAAAAUGCCUGAAAAAAA